rnacentral:rRNA from 1 species
GAACGGGAAACUUUUCAUUGAAGCUUCGGCAGAUUUGGUCUGUUUCUAGUGGCGGACGGGUGAGUAACGCGUGGGUAACCUGCCUUAUACAGGGGGAUAACAACCAGAAAUGGUUGCUAAUACCGCAUAAGCGCACAGGACCGCAUGGUCCGGUGUGAAAAACUCCGGUGGUAUAAGAUGGACCCGCGUUGGAUUAGCUAGUUGGCAGGGCAACGGCCUACCAAGGCGACGAUCCAUAGCCGGCCUGAGAGGGUGAACGGCCACAUUGGGACUGAGACACGGCCCAGACUCCUACGGGAGGCAGCAGUGGGGAAUAUUGCACAAUGGGGGAAACCCUGAUGCAGCGACGCCGCGUGAAGGAAGAAGUAUCUCGGUAUGUAAACUUCUAUCAGCAGGGAAGAUAGUGACGGUACCUGACUAAGAAGCCCCGGCUAACUACGUGCCAGCAGCCGCGGUAAUACGUAGGGGGCAAGCGUUAUCCGGAUUUACUGGGUGUAAAGGGAGCGUAGACGGACUGGCAAGUCUGAUGUGAAAGGCGGGGGCUCAACCCCUGGACUGCAUUGGAAACUGUUAGUCUUGAGUGCCGGAGAGGUAAGCGGAAUUCCUAGUGUAGCGGUGAAAUGCGUAGAUAUUAGGAGGAACACCAGUGGCGAAGGCGGCUUACUGGACGGUAACUGACGUUGAGGCUCGAAAGCGUGGGGAGCAAACAGG